CAGCAGCCGCGGGAAUACGUAGGUCCCGAGCGUUGUCCGGAUUUAUUGGGCGUAAAGCGAGCGCAGGCGGUUAGAUAAGUCUGAAGUUAAAGGCUGUGGCUUAACCAUAGUAUGCUUUGGAAACUGUUUAACUUGAGUGCAGAAGGGGAGAGUGGAAUUCCAUGUGUAGCGGUGAAAUGCGUAGAUAUAUGGAGGAACACCGGUGGCGAAAGCGGCUCUCUGGUCUGUAACUGACGCUGAGGCUCGAAAGCGUGGGGAGCAAGCAGGAUUAGAUACCCCGGUAGUCCCUGUCUCUUAUACC
rnacentral:rRNA from 1 species